rnacentral:tRNA from 1 species
AUCAAAUUAGCAAAGUUAAUGCACCUGACUUAGGAUCAGCUAUCGGAGGUGAAACCCCUUCAUUUGAUA